UACGGAGGGUGCGAGCGUUGUCCGGAAUCAUUGGGCGUAAAGCGCGUGUAGGCGGCUCGGUAAGUCUGCUCUGAAAGCCCGGGGCUCAACCCUGGGAGGCGGGUGGAUACUGCUGAGCUCGAGUCCGGAAGAGGCGAGUGGAAUUCCUGGUGUAGCGGUGAAAUGCGCAGAUAUCAGGAGGAACACCAAUGGCGAAGGCAGCUCGCUGGGACGGUACUGACGCUGAGACGCGAAAGCGUGGGGAGCAAACAGG
rnacentral:rRNA from 1 species